rnacentral:rRNA from 1 species
ACGCUCGACACCUACAGGAGGCAGCAGUGGGGAAUAUUGCACAAUGGGGGAAACCCUGAUGCAGCGACGCCGCGUGAGCGAAGAAGUAUUUCGGUAUGUAAAGCUCUAUCAGCAGGGAAGAAGAAAGACGGUACCUGACUAAGAAGCCCCGGCUAACUACGUGCCAGCAGCCGNGUAAUCUGAGCGGGCUGGCAAGGC